ACGCUUAUAGCUUAAUUGGAUAAAGCAUCUGUCUUCUAAACAGAAUGAUGCAAGUUCGAGCCUUGUUGAGCGUGCCA
rnacentral:tRNA from 1 species